rnacentral:rRNA from 1 species
CCUACGGGUGGCAGCAGUAGGGAAUAUUGCUCAAUGGGGGAAACCCUGAAGCAGCAACGCCGCGUGGAGGAUGACGGUUUUCGGAUUGUAAACUCCUUUUGUUAGAGAAGAUAAUGACGGUAUCCAACGAAUAAACACCGGCUAACUCCGUGCCAGCAGCCGCGGUAAUACGGAGGGUGCAAGCGUUAAUCGGAAUCACUGGGCGUAAAGAGCGCGUAGGCGGGAUAGCAAGUCAGAGGUGAAAUCCCAUGGCGUAACCAUAGAACUGCAUUUGAAAAUGUUAUUCUAGAGAAUGGGAGAGGUAGGUGGAAUUCUUGGUGUAGCGGUAAAAUCCGUAGAGAUCAAGCGGAAUACUCAUUGCGAAGGCGACCUGCUAGAACAUAACUGACGCUGAGGCGCGAAAGCGUGGGGAGCAAACAGGAUUAGAUACCCGUGUAGUC